UACAGAGGUCUCAAGCGUUGUUCGGAAUUACUGGGCGUAAAGCGUGUGUAGGCGGUGCUCUAAGUUCGGUGUGAAAUCUCCUGGCUUAACUGGGAGGGUGCGCCGGAAACUGGAGUGCUCGAACGUGGGAGAGGAAAGCGGAAUUCCUGGUGUAGCGGUGAAAUGCGUAGAUAUCAGGAGGAACACCUGCGGUGUAGACGGCUUUCUGGACCAUUGUUGACGCUGAGACACGAAAGCGUGGGUAGCAAACAGG
rnacentral:rRNA from 1 species